UGGAGGAACAAUCGCAAUGGCCGGGCCAGCUCUGGAGCCCUGGAGUCAGCCCCCGCAGUAACUCCGGAGCUCUCCGUCUGCAGGGCCUGGAGGCUCCAGGGCGGG
rnacentral:pre_miRNA from 1 species